AGAUGCAUGAUAAGCACCCCAAGCCACCGCAGGGGAGGCUGAAAGUCUCCUUUAUUGCUGUGGGAGAUUCUCCCCAGUGUGGUAUGACAGGUAGAACUCAGAGGUUGAAGUUUCUGAACUAUUUGAUGAUCUCCCAGAUACCACGUCUUUUUCACUAAACUAGAAUGAAAGAAAUCCAAACAGGCAAAUAUAAGAAUUAUUAACUUAAAAACAAAUAAAUAAAACAGUACUGAAAAAUUAUUUUGAUCCAUGUAGGAGAAGAAGGUGUCACAGCAACUAAUAAUAAGUACAAUAUGUUGUUACAAUAAGUAACUACUGCUGUUUCAUUGAUAUAGGAAGCUCUGUGUUUUAAACCAGGUUCAAGCCAAUGGCUCUCAGGAAUACUUGCUGCGUGCCAUUGCAAGUUUGGGUUGGAGUGCUGAAAAUGGUUCUGUCCUCAGGGAACUUCGAUGUGGUUCAGCCUCCAGAAGCAAACUGGGAAUAUUUUUGUCCAAACUGCCCAGCAUCCUGGUGUGACAAAGCAAAAUUUUUGGCAUUACUGUGGCUCUUUUUAUGUCUCUUGUACUGAAGAUUUUCCUACAGUUGAUUUGUGCUUUUGGGAGAGCUGAAUAAAUCAGACCUACAGCUUAACA
rnacentral:lncRNA from 1 species